GUCGUAAAAACCCUAUUUGUAAACAACCAGUCCUUUUAACUCGGGGCUGCGUCAUAAACACGGCGCGCUUGGAAGACCACGAUGUCAUCUUCCUUCUGUCAGGAGGAUCCAAGUGAAGCUACAGGAGUUUCAUUAACGUCAACAACUUGGACCGAACGGUUUGUUUUGCUUGAUGAAGAGCAGGAAGGGCAGCCUGGAGAGAAAGAGAAGCCGGGUUGAGCCCACUACCAUCAUCCACGUACCACGAGGAAGAUGAGGGAGAGAAAUGAUCCUACCAUUAAAGAGACUGUGAAAAGAACGUUGAGAACAUCACCACUCUACAGGAAGACACAGUCCAGUAAUGGGUGUCAGAAUUUCAGUAGUGAACGACAGAAACAAACAAUCAAAAUUACCUGCAGAACACCCUUGAUGGACGCUUCAGCUGCAUCGUCAGACUGGCCAGACAGCAAGAUGCCAACUUUAAUGCCAAUUUAUUUGUGUAACAUUCUGUGACCAAAUGUAUAGAUAACUUUUUGUAGAUUGUAAAAAAGAUAACCCAUUUAUUAAAAAAAAACUACACUAGAA